rnacentral:rRNA from 1 species
GACAGAGGUGCCGAGCGUUAGGCGGAAUCACUGGGCUUAAAGCGUGUGUAGGCGGGCGGGCAAGUACCUUGUGAAAUCCCACGGCUCAACCGUGGAACGGCUGGGUAUACUGCCUGUCUUGAGCCAACUAGGGGCGAGCGGAACAGACGGUGGAGCGGUGAAAUGCGUAGAUAUCGUCUGGAACGCCAAAGGUGAAAACAGCUCGCUGGGGUGUGCUGACGCUGAGACACGAAAGCCAGGGGAGCGAACGGG